AAGACAGACAUACAGUCAGAUACAGACAGACUUUUUAGCUUUCUAAUGAGGGAUUGGUGAAACGUCAAAAUCAUCCAGAUAAAACUGCGAAAACAGUUUUAGAAACAGUUAUGCCCCUACAUGAGGUAGAUCAAGUCACCAGUGAGCACAGCAGGACACUCAAGUUUGAUGCAGACACCCUAGCGUCUCUGGCAGCUCAGCAUAAAGAGACGCAUAGCAUGCUGCCAUGAUGACACCUAAAUCUGUUACAUGUAAAGUGAUCUCUGGCCAUCAUGAAAGCCAUUCCACAUGUGACUGGAGGCACAGCCUGUUCUGGCUCAGGGAGACAUGCCAAAACUAUCAGGUGUGUGUUACAGACCCCACCAUUAAACCCCACUAUGCAGAAUGACAACAAAGUCAAGAAAAUAAAUCUACUACUUCGCAAUAAGCGCAUGAAGAUGAGGUCCAAGUACGCCCAAAACUGUUCAAACUACAUUAGUCUCAUUGUCUGAAGAAGAAGGAACAGCAGACAGGGACUGUGUGAGCCUGUUAGACAUAGAAUGUUUAACAAAAAAACAGACCUUCAAAACAUUAUGUACUACAAACAAAUCCAGACUGAAGUGAACAAAAACACUACAGAGAGGUCAGCAGGCAUUGACACAGAAUGGAAAGACUACACUAUCAUUACAGCUUGUCAAUUCUGCAGCUGCCUGCACAGUCCCAUUGGUCAUGGCAUCGAUAGCAUGAGGGAGAAAGUGUGAGAAAACGGAUUAAGCGAUGCCUGUUGGGAGCUAGACAAUGCCACGCUUAUGAAUAACCUCAGACGCCUCGCGAACAAUGCCGGGUGACGCGCUACACCGCCGUCUCAUUAGAUGCUGAAUCACAAGGAGGGAAUCAAGCAGAAC